CAAAGGCUUGGUCCCGACUUUACUAUCAGCUUUAGCCCAACUUAUACAUGCAAGUAUCCGCACCCCUGUGAGAAUGCCCUCAAUCCCCCACCCGAGGACGAGGAGCCGGCAUCAGGCACAAUUAUUUUAGCCCAUGACGCCUUGCUACGCCACCCCCCCAAGGGAAUUCAGCAGUAAUAAACAUUAAGCCAUAAGUGAAAACUUGACUUAGUCAGGGCUACUUAGGGCCGGUAAAACUCGUGCCAGCCACCGCGGUUAUACGAGAGACCCUAGUUGAUAAACAUCGGCGUAAAGAGUGGUUACGGAAAAGAUAAAUAAAGUCGAACAACCUCUUAGCUGUUAUACGCAUUAUGAGAGCAUGAAGCCCCUUCACGAAAGUAACUUUAAUACCCCCUGAACCCACGAAAGCUAAGAAACAAACUGGGAUUAGAUACCCCACUAUGCUUAGCCUUAAACCUAGAUGUCUGCCCUACAGAAAACAUCCGCCAGGGUACUACGAGCGCCAGCUUAAAACCCAAAGGACUUGACGGUGUCUCAGACCCACCUAGAGGAGCCUGUUCUAGAACCGAUAAUCCACGUUAAACCUCACCACCUCUUGUUUUUCCCGCCUAUAUACCGCCGUCGCAAGCUUACCCUGUGAAGGACAAACAGUAAGCAAAAUGGGUACCCCCAGAACGUCAGGUCGAGGUGUAGCUUACGGGGUGGAAAGAAAUGGGCUACAUUUUCUAUAUCAGAAUAUACGAAUAGUACUAUGAAACUAGUACCUGAAGGUGGAUUUAGUAGUAAAAAUCAAAUAGAGAGUCAUUUUGAAGUUAGGCUCUGAGACGCGCACACACCGCCCGUCGCCCUCCCCAACUUGAAAUCAGAUAAGUAAAUAACCAAAUAACUAUCAUUAACGGGGAGAUAAGUCGUAACAUGGUAAGUGUACCGGAAGGUGCACUUGGAACAU
rnacentral:ncRNA from 1 species